rnacentral:rRNA from 1 species
UACGUAGGGUGCAAGCGUUGUCCGGAAUUAUUGGGCGUAAAGAGCUCGUAGGCGGUUCGGUAAGUCAGGUGUGAAAUCUCCACGCUCAACGUGGAGGCGCCACCUGAAACUGCCGUGACUAGAGUCCGGUAGGGGAGUGUGGAAUUCCCGGUGUAGCGGUGAAAUGCGUAGAUAUCUGGAGGAACACCGGUGGCGAAGGCGGCAUCCUGGACCGGCAUUGACGCUGAGGCGCGAAAGCCAGGGGGGCAAACGGG